UGGACAAAAAAAUUUUAUGGCUUAUGUAAAGAGGCAACUGAUAUUUUGAGUCCGACUGGGAUACUAUCGAUAGCACCAUGUAUUUGGUGCUAUCAAGUUUUCUAUCGUUAGAUUUAAUAUUUUGAUUAUUUUCACCCGUUAGAUUAUACUAUUAAACCAACAACUCACUCAAUCUUAGGGGACCCACAUCAUCCUAACCGUAUAUUUUUUUAAUCAAAGGGCCGAAAACCUAAUAGCACCAAAUGCUUGGUGCUAUUGAUAGUAUUUCAGCCUAGGUGCGAUAUUUCAAUUUUAGCAACUAAAUCUUCUAAGCUUUAUAAAAUAGUUCAAUAAGCCCAUCUUUUUAAUUAAAGCUACUAAUUAUAUAACCGUUUUGACCAUAUGCCUUUAAUUUUUUUAUUCUAACCUAUUUUUCUACUAUUGUACUUAAUUCAGAAAUGGGAGAAAAAAAAUAAUAUUUAUUUAGUUUAUAUGUAUAAUAUCCAAUCAAAAUGGUUGUAUAAUUUAUAAGUUUGUUUGAGGAGAAUAACCCAUUAAAUCAUUUGAUAAAGUUUUGAAGAUUUAAUAAUAAAAUUAAAAGUUCAGAUGAAACUCUAGAUAGUUCUAUACAUAAGAUAUAAUAGGGCUAAAACUUUUAAUUCGGUUUAAGCAUUUUGGAUGGUGGUUAGGCUCAAGAGAUUAAGAGAGUUAAGCGUGCUAGGACGAAAGUAGUUUUAGGAUGGGUGACCCCCUGGAAAGUUGGGGCAUCACAGCAGAUUUAGAGUAGAGCUAAGAUUCAGGGGUACGUGUAACGUUA
rnacentral:lncRNA from 1 species